rnacentral:siRNA from 1 species
AGCGUUUGAACAGGGUUUGAAUGU